ACCAAUCCCAGCAUGAAGAUCCUUUAUCUGCUGUUCGCAUUUCUUUUCCUCGGCCUGGCUCAAGGGAAGGCCUAUCAGCUCUGUGCUAGAAGAGGAGGACACUGCAAGUGGCGUAAGUGUCCUCCUCGCCACCAAUGCAUUGGGCGAAAGGGCUGUCCGAUUGGAUGGAGAUGCUGCAUACCCUGGUAUGGAAAAUAAUGCCAUCUCCAUCUAACACCUGGAACGCCUUCAAGAUAUGGCCAAUGACCUGAGAUUACCGCCUGCUAUCGCUUUUUCUUUCUUUACAUAAAUCAAAUUUCUAUCUAUCAAACUUGAAAACAUUAAUGCAUUGAAGUAAAAUUUGGCAAAUAUUCCUUGCAAUAAA